rnacentral:rRNA from 1 species
GAUGAACGCUGGCGGCGUGCCUAAUACAUGCAAGUCGAGCGAACGUACGAGAAGCUUGCUUUUCUGAUGUUAGCGGCGGACGGGUGAGUAACACGUGGAUAACCUACCUAUAAGACUGGGAUAACUUCGGGAAACCGGAGCUAAUACCUGAUAAUAUUUUGAACCGCAUGGUUCAAAAGUGAAAGACGGUCUUGCUGUCACUUAUAGAUGGAUCCGCGCUGCAUUAGCUAGUUGGUAAGGUAACGGCUUACCAAGGCAACGAUGCAUAGCCGACCUGAGAGGGUGAUCGGCCACACUGGAACUGAGACACGGUCCAGACUACUACGGGAGGCAGCAGUAGGGAAUCUUCCGCAAUGCGAGAAAGCCUGACGGAGCACCGCCGCGUGAGUGAUGAAGGUAUUCGGAUCGUAAAUCUCUGUUAUUAGGGAAGAACAUAUGUGUAAGCAACUGUGCACAUCUUGACGGUACCUAACCAGAAAGCCACGGCUAACUACGUG